rnacentral:rRNA from 2 species
UUGACCUCGGAUCAGGUAGGACUACCCGCUGAACUUAAGCAUAUCAAUAAGCGGAGGAAAAGAAACCAACAGGGAUUGCCCCAGUAACGGCGAGUGAAGCGGCAACAGCUCAGAUUUGGAAUCUGGCCCCCAGGGCCCGAGUUGUAAUCUGGAGAGGAUGCUUCUGGCGCGGCGCCUUCCGAGUUCCCUGGAACGGGACGCCGGAGAGGGUGAGAGCCCCGUACGGUCGGACGCCCAGCCUUUGUGAAGCUCCUUCGACGAGUCGAGUAGUUUGGGAAUGCUGCUCAAAAUGGGAGGUAAAUUUCUUCUAAAGCUAAAUACCGGCCAGAGACCGAUAGCGCACAAGUAGAGUGAUCGAAAGAUGAAAAGCACUUUGAAAAGAGGG